CUUCCCUACGGGGGGCAGCAGUGGGGGAUAUUGCACAAUGGGGGGAACCCUGAUGCAGCGACGCCGCGUGGGUGAAGAAGCGCCUCGGCGCGUAAAGCCCUGUCAGCAGGGAAGAAAAUGACGGUACCUGAAGAAGAAGCCCCGGCUAACUACGUGCCAGCAGCCGCGGUAAUACGUAGGGGGCAAGCGUUAUCCGGAUUUACUGGGUGUAAAGGGGGCGCAGGCGGAACCAUAAGUCUGAAGUAAAAGCCAUCGGCUCAACCGAUGUAAG
rnacentral:rRNA from 1 species